GCCGGUGGCACCUCAUAAGUAUCACCCUCAUUAGAAGACAACUCAAAAACUGACCCAAAAUCCAUUACUCUCAAGUCCCCAGACCCAGCAGCAGCAGUAGGUCCAUCUCCCAUGGUAACCUUCCUAGANGUAUUCCAUUUGAACAUUCACUUGUUGCCCAAUAAGGCGACGUCUAAGGAAUUCCUUAGCUUCCCGAGCAUAAUUCUCAGGCUUUUCAUCUCUACGAGGAUUGCCCAUUUUUGGACACCUAAUACUUG
rnacentral:misc_RNA from 1 species